rnacentral:tRNA from 4 species
GCCGAGGUGGUGGAAUGGUAGACACGAAGGACUUAAAAUCCUUUGCCUUAGGGCGUGCGAGUUCGACUCUCGCCCUCGGCACCA